rnacentral:rRNA from 1 species
CCUACGGGGGGCAGCAGUGAGGAAUAUUGGUCAAUGGCCGGAAGGCUGAACCAGCCAAGCCGCGUGAAGGACGAAGGUGCCAAGCAUUGUAAACUUCUUUUGUCAAGGGACAAAAUCAGGCUCGAGAGCCUGACCGAGGGUACUUGAAGAAAAAGCAUCGGCAAACCCCGUGCCAGCAGCCGCGGUAAUACGGGGGAUGCGAGCGUUAUCCGGAUUUAUUGGGUUUAAAGGGUGCGUGGCGGGACUGUUAAGUCAGCGGUAAAAGCCCGGGGCUAAACCCCGGCGAGCCGUUGAAACGGGCUGUCUUGAGAUGUGGAGAGGUAUGCGGAAUGCGAAGUGUAGCGGUGAAAUGCUUAGAUAUUGCGCAGAACUCCGAUGGCGAAGGCAGCAUACCGGCGGCGAUCUGACGCUGAGGCACGAAAGCGUGGGUAGCGAACAGGAUUAGAUACCCUAGUAGUC